UACGGAGGGGGCUAGCGUUGUUCGGAAUUACUGGGCGUAAAGCGCACGUAGGCGGCUUUGUAAGUUAGUGGUGAAAGCCUGGAGCUCAACUCCAGAAUUGCCUUUAAGACUGCAACGCUUGAAUCCAGGAGAAGUGAGUGGAAUUCCGUGUGUAGAGGUGUAAUUCGUAGAUAUUCGGAAGAACACCAGUGGCGAAGGCGGCUCACUGGACUGGUAUUGACGCUGAGGUGCGAAAGCGUGGGGAGCAAACAGG
rnacentral:rRNA from 1 species